rnacentral:lncRNA from 1 species
AUGUAAGAUAGUGGGUGACGAAUCAGAAUGGACUGACUGCUCCCUGGGCAGUUCUAAGCAAAGCUUUAGCUGUAAUUGGUACACAUAAAAUGGAAGAAAGGCACAGGAAGUGGCAAAAAGGAAUAGUCUUUAAAAAUGCCAAGAACUUCCUGUGAAAAGAUUUUUUCGGUCUUUUGUUUUCAGUUUGACUUUGGAAGAGCUCUGACUGAGGAUCUCCAACUUCUUCUGCUUUCCUUAAAACUACCACAUGGGAACCAGCAAAGUGAAUUCUCCUUUCACCCAAGGAGUCGGAAAAUCAACUCACUCUAAUCAAGGGAAAUUAUUUCAUUAACAAGGGGUUCCUGGUCAUAAUAUGAAGCCUUGCUGAAGAUUAAAAACUCCUCUCCCCAUAACCCAGUCCCCUCCUACAUAGGAAAAACAGCAUCCAGGUAAGAUGAAGAAAUGGGGACACAGAAGGGUAAAGUGACUUACUUAAAAGUCACACAAGAAGUAUCUGAAGUAGAAUUUGAACCUAUAUCUUCCUGUGAAAUUCCCUUAUUUUAUCAAUGAGGAAUCUGAAGUUUAGAGAGGGCAUAGAAGUCAAAAUUUCUCCUUUUUCCUCUUCUGUUCACUAGACAACUAGCUGGCAUAGUGAAUAGAACACUGGAUUUAUAGUCAGGAAGAUCCGAGUUCAAAUAUAUCCUAUAACACUUACUAGCUAUGUGAUCCUGGACAAGUCACUUAACCUUUGUUUU